UACGAAGGGAGCUAGCGUUGUUCGGAAUCACUGGGCGUAAAGCGCACGUAGGCGGAUGUGUCAGUCAGGGGUGAAAUCCCGGGGCUCAACCCCCGGAACUGCCUUUUGAUACUGGGUAUCUCGAGUCCGGAAGAGGUGAGUGGAAUUCCGAGUGUAGAGGUGAAAUUCGUAGAUAUUCGGAGGAACACCAGUGGCGAAGGCGGCUCACUGGUCCGGUACUGACGCUGAGGUGCGAAAGCGUGGGGAGCAAACAGG
rnacentral:rRNA from 1 species